AUUGAACGCUGGCGGCAGGCUUAACACAUGCAAGUCGAGCGGGGUGAUGGUGCUUGCACUAUCACUUAGCGGCGGACGGGUGAGUAAUGCUUGGGAAUCUGCCUAUUAGUGGGGGACAACAUCUCGAAAGGGAUGCUAAUACCGCAUACGUCCUACGGGAGAAAGCAGGGGAUCACUUGUGACCUUGCGCUAAUAGAUGAGCCUAAGUCGGAUUAGCGAGUUGGUGGGGUAAAGGCCUACCAAGGCGACGAUCUGUAGCGGGUCUGAGAGGAUGAUCCGCCACACUGGGACUGAGACACGGCCCAGACUCCUACGGGAGGCAGCAGUGGGGAAUAUUGGACAAUGGGGGGGACCCUGAUCCAGCCAUGCCGCGUGUGUGAAGAAGGCCUUAUGGUUGUAAAGCACUUUAAGCAAGGAGGAGGCUCUUUUGGUUAAUACCCAAGAUGAGUGGACGUUACUCGCAGAAUAAGCACCGGCUAACUCUGUGCCAGCCGCCGCAGUAA
rnacentral:rRNA from 1 species